rnacentral:lncRNA from 1 species
AUCCAUUCUCAAAUACAUAUAACCAAGAUUGAAGGAACCACCCUAACUUUUCUUGGAGACCCCAAUAGACUUAAGCUCAGACCCAAAUUUUUUUUGUGCAAAAUUUUUAAAGUAGACCCCAAUACCAAAACUAUGCCUAUAAUAGUGGUCAGCCUAGUCAGCCUACUCAACCAUCCUAUUACAAUCAGCCAUCAUACCCACCUCCUCAAC